rnacentral:snRNA from 1 species
AGCUUUGCGCAGUGGCAGUAUCGUAGCCAAUGAGGUUUAUCCGAGGCGCGAUUAUUGCUAAUAGACUCUUGAUUUCAGGUCAGGUCAUGAUCUCCGGGUUGUGAGACUGAACCCCACAUCAGGCUCCAUGCCAUGGAGCCUGCUUAAGGUUCUUUCUCUCCCUCUCCUUCUGCCCCUCCUCAACCCCCCCAAAAUUAAUUUUAAAAAUAUUAAAUUAAUUUUUUAAUUAAAAAUGACUUA